rnacentral:rRNA from 1 species
CCUACGGGGGGCAGCAGUGAGGAAUAUUGGUCAAUGGUCGGGAGACUGAACCAGCCAAGCCGCGUGAGGGAGGAAGGUACAGAGGAUCGUAAACCUCUUUUGUCAGGGAACAAAGACUGUGACGCGUCCCCGGAUGAGUGUACCUGAAGAAAAAGCAUCGGCUAACUCCGUGCCAGCAGCCGCGGUAAUACGGAGGAUGCGAGCGUUACCCGGAUUGAUUGGGGUUAAAGGGUGCGCAGGCGGUCUGGUAAGUCAGGGGUCAAAGCCCGGGGCUCAACCCCGGCCCGGCCGUUGAAACUGGCAGUCUCGAGUUGGAGAGAGGUAUGCGGAAUGCGCGGUGUAGCGGUGAAAUGCAUAGAUAUCGCGCAGAACACCGGUUGCGAAGGCAGCAUGCCGGCUCCACACUGACGCUGAGGCACGAAAGCGUGGGUAUCGAACAGGAUUAGAUACCCGAGUAGUC